rnacentral:misc_RNA from 1 species
UGAUUCCAUAAAAUAACAUAAAUUUUUUUAGUGUUUAUUAAUGUACUAACCUUCAAUUUGAUCCGGAAGUAUGACGACAAUGGCAAAUGAAUUUGAUUUUCAGAAGUGUGAUCACCUGAUCUUCCUGGUAUGCUUUUAUUCCCAAGUUUGAAUAGUCAAUAGUUCUAUUAACGAUUGCGCCUGAGUCCCAUAGAGCCUCAGCAACAACAGAAUCCCCAAGGCGAACACUCGAUGGACAACAGUCGAUCCAACCUCUAAGUCGCUUAAUUACCUCCAUAUUUACGGGCCGACCGACAU